AUAUUGAACAAGUAUAAGGUCCCACUAGUGUUUGGAGACGUGAUCACACAAAAGGAAGAAUUAGCAGGAAAGAUUAAACACAGACAUCUUUUGGUGGGAGGAAAAGACGUAAUGUAUUCCACAUUCUCUAAAGGCUAUAUAAUCAUGUUGUACACUCUUAGAAAAAUAUACUGGACUGGCCACUGAAGAUGUGAACAUUAUUGCAGC
rnacentral:lncRNA from 1 species